UUAAUCCGUGUUAUUCUUGUUGCAGCCUCUCCCCAGAGAGAGUUGUAAGCUCCAGUGCUCUGAGGGCCACACAGCUGAAGACAUGGGUUGUGAGUGAGGCUGGCUUUGAACUCCUACUGAAGUGGAGAAUGACCCUGAACUCUUGAUUCUCCUGCCUCUCCCUCCCAUGUGCUGGGAUCACAGGUCUUUUGGCUGCAUGUCAGCACAUGUGUGCCUGUUGACCUCGAAGGUCGGUUCCGCCCCUUGGAACUGCUUGUCAGAAUUACGUGGUGCUGGGAACUGAAAUGGGGACCUCCGCAAGAGCAACAAAACAUCUUAACCACUGAGCCAUCUCUCUGUUCAUGAUCCUGCCCUGUCCUUUUCAAACUACGUUUUAGAUAUUUGUGUGUGUGAGUAUAGAUAGGCACAGAAAUGGUAAGGUACACUUGUGGAGGUCAAUGGACAACUGUGGAAGUUAGUUUCUCCUUCAACCAUUUGCAAGCCCCUUUACCCACUGUGCCAUUUCAUUGGCCCUU